rnacentral:tRNA from 1 species
GUCAGGAUGGCCGAGUGGUCUAAGGCGCUGCGUUCAGGUCGCAGUCUACUCUUGUAGGCGUGGGUUCAAAUCCCACUCCUGACA